rnacentral:ncRNA from 1 species
GAGGAAACCGGUGCGAACCCGGUGCGGUCCCGCCACUGUGACCGCGGCGCACCGGGGAGCCGGUGGACCGCGGAAGCCAGGAACUC